UUGGGGGAAGGUGGCCUUCGUUCAGCUUGUGUCAUAGUCAUCACUUAGGUUAUUUGCUCAGUUUCCUGUGGUUUCAUUGGGUAAGGGGAAAACAAACAAAAAACAUUCAAAGAAUGUAAAAUCAGCUAGCUUCCCGCUUCAUGGACUGUGAGUCAGAAAAGUUCUGCUCAAAUGCCUUCUAUGAGCCACGGCUCUUCUAAAAACUAUAGGAUCUGUUAACUUGAGCAUCCAAUGCUGUACUGUCACCUUAAGCUUUAAGAAUCAUGUGUAAUUCUAGUCUAUCAAAUUAUCAAUUAGUGAGAGAUUUUUAAGGAGUGCUAAGGAGAAAAAGGUGCAGGGCAGAGAGAGAUCUUCAGGUACUGGCUGUCAUUGCAGCUCAGGUACUGGCUGUCAUUGCAGAGCUGCUGCUGGUUCUGGCUGCUGUAAAAAGUCUACUUUUAAGUUUCUAAAGUUUCUCUACCAUUCUGGCGCUUCAUGCAGUUUCCCACCCUGUGAGCCCCACAGAGGGAACAGAUGUGCAGGAAACACUGAUCGGGAAAUACCAUCUCCUCCUCUCUGGAUAUGACUGGUGCCUUAGCACUGUUCCCUGUGCCCAAUAAACUGUUUCCUCAGUUUUCUCCAGUGUGCUGUACAAAUAUGUUUCUUCUGUGUGCCACCAAUCAAGAAAGGACAGCUUCAGAGUCAUCUUGUGCCUUUAGGAAGCCCAUAUUGCAACCUACAAGUGAGUGAAGGAGCUAGGGUAGAAGACUGAAGCCGCCUACACCAGCCACAGUCACUGUUAGGAUGGGCUGCACAGCCGCUUUGGCCUUGUUGGCCAUUCUGGCACUCAUUGGCACUUCAUCCUCCUUUGUUGGGCUAUCCUGUACUCAGUAGGAUAUUUGGGAACAUUCCUGGCCUCCAUCUGCAAGAUGCCAACAGUACAAGUCAACCUCACAACACCCACCAGGUGUGAGAAAAAUAACUAGAUAUUGCUACAUGUUCUUUGGAGGGACUCUCCUGUAACGUUAUUUCCCCCAUCCCCAGACAAGGUUUCUCAGUUCUCGCUGUCCUGGAACUCACUUUGUAGACCAGAUUGGUCUCCCAAUUCAGAGAUCUGCCUGCCUCUGCCUCCUGAGUGCUGGGAAUAAAGGCAUGUGCCACCACCACCCAGCUUCCUGCUGUAAGUUUAUAUGCCUUACUUCUCCUGUCACACAGGCUAGGCCAUCAUUAACAGCAUGGAACAUGCACAGUGGAAGGGAAUUGGAGCAGGGAAGGUUCCAGGCUUUCCUGAAGGAGCCUGCAUAGUCUUUAAAAAAUGUUUUCUUUUUAACUUCUAAUGCUGUUUUAAGAAGACAGAAUUAGAAACUGCUUCUAGUGGAGUUUUAAGGAGAAUAAAAUAGCAAGGGAGGCCAGAGCUGGUUUUGGAAUUGCAGUAGCAAUCAGGGUCCUAGUAUUAAAAUCAUGUCUGUUAGUGUUCAGUAGGGGAAGACUUGUGUGUCCACUGCUGAAGAUAGGUGCUUCAGAUCCAGGCCUGGAUUGUGACCACAGACUUUCAGAUCUUUUCCAGGCUCACCACUGACAGCCAGACAAUGGCUUGGCACCUCGAGUUGUGGCUGAGCCUGUAUGAGUUGAAGGAUGGUCAGUAGAUGAAGCCGUUUACUCUCAUGGUGUGUGCCCUUGUACAAGAGAUCUGGGCGCGUGACACAAAGCCAGUCAUUGACAGGCUAGACCCAAAGACCUUUAAGCACUCCCAUUUGCUUCCGCUGUAUCACAAUAACUGAUGACUUUGUAGUCAGUGGUACCUGCUCCGAACAAGUACGUGGAGUGUGGGAGUCCCUCUGGGAGCCCAGCGUGGAAUUAGAACACCUCUUUAAAGCCACCUCCUAAGCCGAGCAGAAUGCAGUGGACUGGGGUACAAGUCAGACCUGAGUGUCAUUGUCCACAUCAUGGAAAAACAAGAUGGCCACCAGAACACUGAAGGCCUGAGGAGACUAACCCUGUUCCCAGAACUCAGAGUUCUGUUUGGUUCUGUUUUUAAUAAGAUAACCUUUCUUUAAUGUAUACAUAUGCAUAUACAUAUAUAUUUGUACUUUAAAUACAGAGUACUGAAUAAAAUUUAUGUGACUAUACUGCUCAUGUUGGCAUCUCCUGUGCUGCUAACAGAAGGGUAUGCUGAUGGUGAACAGGUGUUCCCAUGCAGCACACUCUGUCCCCAAGGGGCCAGCACCACGGCAGUCCUUCCACAUGGCUCAGAGGCCUUUCAGCUCUGCUCUAAGUGCCUCCCUGAAAAGAGCUGUGCUUACCUCUGAGGGUUUCAGUCCAAGCUACACGGCACGACUAUACCUGGCCAGAAACCAGAUAAGCAAGGGGAGCCAGGCCGGAAAACAAGAGAGGAGACUCGACAGUUGCUCCCAAGCACAGGUUUUCUACUUGCUGUGCUUGUGGUCCUGUCUUUCAUCAGUUGUGUGGUUACUGUAAAGAAUGAGAAAAGGAGCCCUGCCUCAAAGACUUGUUUUUUUAGAUCUAUUUAUUUAUGUCUAUGAGUACACUGUAGCUGACCAGAUGGUUGUGAACCACCACGUGAUUGCUGGAAUUGGAACUCAAUGACCUCCAGAAGAGCAGUCAUUGCACUUAACCGCUGAGCCAUCUCACCAGCCCCCUCAAAAACCUCUUAACCAUUAUCUUGAUGUAUUUUUUUUCUUUGCUUUCUUAAGAGUUGUUUACAAAAAGAUGCAACCUAUUCUAACAGGGUAAAUAUUUUCAACCAUUUCACUUUAAGUUAAUGAAGGUUCAUAAAUGAACAACAUACCCACUCAGUAUCCUAUCUAUCUAUUUAUUUAUUUAUUUUGUGUGCACAUGUGCUUUUUUUUUCUUUAAUGUGGAGGUCAGAGGCCAACUGAUGGAAGUCAGUUCUCUAUACAAGUAGGGCCUACUUACUUCCUUGGCAGAAUCUUCUACCUUCUAUGUUACCACAUUUUCCAAAAUGUCAUGUUUAUAUUCAGUGAAAAUUCCAGUAGUGUGUCAACUCUUGUCCACAUAUCUGGGUGUUCCUUUAAUUGCCUCUGCUGUAUUUUGCUGCAUCCCCAGCACUUGGGAGGCUGACACAGGAGGAUCAAGCAUCCAAGGCUAGCCUCACCCUAGGCUUCUCUAUGGUAUAAGCAGUAUACAAAGAUAUCUAAAGGGUUGACAACCAGAUUGUGGCUAAAACUGAACCACUUAAUCUGAUAAUGUUUUAUAACUGCUGACAAUAUUUUUAAAAAGGGCCUUAGAAGGUGAGGUAGGGGAAGAGGGGAAGAAAUCAAGGUUCCCUUCAUGGUUUUAUCGCUUCAAAAAAUGGGGUGGGGUUAAAAUGGAGGACAGACUCAAUGACAUUUACAAAUAAGUGAUUAUAAAGAGUUAAGAGCUAGUGUAAUUGUAGUAAGAGGUAUGAUGUUUUCAUAUAGCAUUAGGAAGCUAAGCCGACCUGAAUACCCCUCCACAGCUCUGUGAGCCAAGCCUUUCUAACUUCUCUUCCCACUGUUUCCUCGUCUAUAAUCUGGGGUAAGAAGUAUGGAUGGAGAAGGAGCAUAUACUAAUUAAAAAUAUAGUGACACACUUUAAGGCACCUGGCACAAAAAUGACUAGUUUUUGGUAUGAAGUAUUGAAAGCUCCCUCCCCCCCCAUUACUGGGACUAGUCAUUGCUGGGUAAUUGGAUCGUGAGGACUCUGACUUAAUCAAUGGAGUUAUCUAUUAAUGGAUUCAUAGUUUGUUGGUAUUAUUGGAAGAUAUAGGAGGUGGGGCCUGACUACAAGAAGCAGGUCACUGGGAGCAUGCAUGUCUUUGAACAAUUUUUCCUUUGAACAGUUUCUUCCAGUUCUUUCUCUUCUCCCUCUCAGCCUGUUAAGUGCUCUUAACACUUAAGUGCCUCCGCUCCCACCAUGCACUGCCUUUCCUCGGGCCCAAAGAAAUGGGUCCGGAUGACCUUGAGCUUAGAGCUCUGAAACCAUGAACCUUUCCCCCUUUUACAUUGUUCUCAAAUGUUUGUCACAGUGGUGCAUAAAGCUAACACAGCAAGAUGUACAAAUGAUGAGUUCUUAAGACGUGCAUAAUAAAUGUUGCUCUAAGU
rnacentral:lncRNA from 1 species